rfam:Ornithorhynchus anatinus Cont3.380, whole genome shotgun sequence.
CGGCUCCGCGGGCCACCCCGGGGCCGGGAGAAUUUUUUAGGAUUUUUUGGCGAUUUUUUGACGGGUGUCCGACGGGGGUAUCCGCCAGUUCAGGGUGUCCCCUCUCUCCCGCUGGAUUGAUGCGAUCGGGCAUC